rnacentral:rRNA from 1 species
UAUGUGAUCGUCUCUCGCAUAUCAAUAAGCGGAGGAAAAGAAACUAACGAGGAUUCCCCUAGUAACGGCGAGUGAAGCGGAAGAGCUCAAAUUUGAAAUCUUAAAGGGUUUCCCUUUACGAAUUGUAGUUUAAAGAAGUGUUUUCUGUUGAGGUUUUGGUAAAAGUUCUUUGGAAUAGGACAUCAUAGAGGGUGAGAAUCCCGUAUUUGACCUUUACUUUCAACUUUGUGAUACACUUUCAAAGAGUCGGAUUGUUUGGGAAUGCAGUCCAAAAUGGGUGGUAAAUUUCAUCUAAAGCUAAAUAUUGGCGAGAGACCGAUAGCGAACAAGUACCGUGAGGGAAAGAUGAAAAGAACUUUGAAAAGAGAGUUAAACAGUACGUGAAAUUGUCAAAAGGGAAGCGUUUGACACCAGUGUUGUUUUUCUGAAAAUCAAUUAAAGAACUGUUUAUGCUAAGUUGUUUAGACUUUAUCAGCUAAUCUGCUUAGUUUUGAGCUUUUCUUUAAUGCACUUUUCAUGUUAACAAGUCAACAUCAAUUUCUUUUGCUGUAAAAAAGCUUGAGGAAGGUGGCUUGAGAUUCGUCUUAAGUGUUUAUAGCCUCUUGCCUAUGCAGUCGGAGAGAUUGAGGUCUGCAGCGUAGAUCCUUCGGGGCUAAAUGCAUUUGUGCUAAGUUAUAGCAUUUUAUAGACAACUUGUUGACUAUGAUUUGUCUUGUAGCUUACUCGCUUAUGUUAUUUUACCUACGCUUAGGAUGUUGAAGAUAUGCGCGACACG